GCGGAGCCGGCGGGGAGGGACGCGGGGAGGGACGCGGGGCCGCCCCCGCGCCGCGCCAGGCACCGGCCGCCCCGCCGCGCCAGGCACCGGGGGCUCGGCUCGGGGCGCUGCCCGUUCCUCGGGACUCGAGCCCCCCCCGCGGUGCCCCGCAACCCCCGCUGCUCGCCCCGGUGUGCCCGGGCUCGGAGCGCCCUGCCCGGGUUUGGCGACCAACGUGGCACUGGGAGCCGCGGGGGUGCUGGUUCUCGGCCCGCUCGGUGGCACCGGCAGGUUAACGUGGUGGUAACAGGCUAAAAACCUACACGGUCCUCUGCGGGAGACCAAAAACUCGUUGGAUAGAGCUCCUGGCUUUGAAAUCUGCUGAACUCCCGACUGCAGGGCCGAAAGAAUCACAGGAUCAGUUAGGUUGGAAAAGACCUCUGAGAUCAUCGAGUCCAACCUAUGACUGAACACCACCACCGUGUCAGUGGAAAACACGAGCUGCUGUUCCUGGUGUAGAUUAUCCGAGGAGGCACAGCUGUGCAGACCCGGGCAGUGGUUUGUCACGCAAGUGUCACCCCAGCCAUCCUCUCUGUGCCGUCCUGGUGAAGGCUCAGCCUGCAGGGAGAAAGAAACGGGCACUGGAGAAAUCCUUCUAAACCAGAGGUAUCAAGAACAAGCAAGAAACACAAAGGGAAGGCAUUGGAAAAAGGGGAAUAAAGGGGCGGUACCAGCUGAUGGCUUGAGCCUAAAGGGGUUCCUGCAAGAAGGAGCUUCCCCUCUCCUUAAAAGAUUUUGGCAGUUCACUUCCAGUUGGAGGGAUGUGGGCAGGGAUGGAGGUCCCCACGGAGGACCACCUAUGACUCAGGGGGAGGGCAGUGUAGCAAACCAAAAGGGCCUGGUUUCUCUCACACCCAAGAGAACAGCAUGAAGCUGUCAGGAGGGGUUUAGGUUUGAUCUUAGGAAAAGGUUUUUCACCCGGAGGGUGGUCGGGCACUGAACAGGCUCCCCAGGGCAGUGGGCACAGCACCAAUUCUGCCAAAUUGAAGAAGCAUUUGGAUGACGCUCUCAGGGACAGGGUGGGAUUGUUGGGGUGUCCUGUGCAGGGCCAGGAGUUGGACUGGAUGAUCCUUGUGGGCACUUCCAACUGAGGAUAUUCUAUGAUUCUAUGAUUCCCUGACCUGCAGGAGGGCAGCACUACUUACUCUGUGUAAUAGAACACUGUGAGGAGAUCCUUGAGGCUGUUCUCAAGCUAAAAAGCAGUCUAAAUGUGUGUCAGCACAGCACUGUGAUAGUCCUGAGGAGGGGCAGAGUUAAUUAGCCAAGGCCCAGGAUCACAUUAACAUGGAUUCUCAGAUGGCUGAGAUGAACCUCCCAAAGUCUCUGGAGUCCCUAUUGACUACAGCCACUACAUACAAAGACAAAGUGAGGGCAGGAGGGAAGAUAGAGGUAAAAUGAGUUGCUGAAGGUCAAAUAUUAGAUCAGGAGAGAAGAGAAAUCAGACCCUACAGUUCCUCACCCCUCCAGUACUUUCUCCUCUGAACUGUAACAAAACCCCAGAACAACAACGGGAUUUAGCUGCUGCUGACACAGGAGCUUCCUGUGUUCCAGGGAAAAAUUCUGUAUUUUGGUAUAGGACCAAAUGCACAUGGAAAAAAAACCUCUUUACUAGCAUGGCCCCACAGUUCAGUGACAUACAGUGACACACAAGAUAUCACCAGAUGACUUAAAGGGAAAUGAAAUAUGUGCCCUGUCAUUAGAAAAAGGCCCCACAAAGGUACAGCCCCAGUCUUUUGUUGUAAGUUGAUAAAGAGAGAAAACUGCCAUUUGCUGCUAAGUGACUCCUAACGAUUAAACAACCUUUCUCCUCUCACCCCCUCGGGGCAAUUAGAGAUAAUAUAAGAAAGAUUUUGCACAUUGUUUAGCUUACAUGGCCAUCUGGUCCUUCUGCAUUUCAGUAGCCUUGAACAUUAAAAAAAAAAAAUAGAUAAAGAAAACCAGUCCUAUCUUAUUGGAGACCUGGAGAAGUUUAACUCUGUCAGAGUACACAGGAUUAACCAAGUCCUUACAGCUCUUUUAUUGCUUCCAUCUUGAUUAACAGUCAUAUUCGUCACAGCUUUGUGUUGUCCUCUGUAAACUGAGCUGUUCCUUACUGACACUGUUUCAACCACGAAACACAACUCCAGCAGUUGCAUCUGGCUCCUGUAGCUGUUCUGAUCCUGGGCAAUGGAGACACAACAGAGGCACAUGCUGAGAAAAGAUCCAUACAGGUUUUCAGCCAAAAUUUAAAACCAGUAUUACUAGAAGUCUUGUGUGAGUAGGGAAAAGGGUGCUCUUUUCAAAGGAAAAUGCAGCGGUCUUGGCCUAACUCAGAAACCUUCCUGCUGCUCAGACGUCACCUAAUCCCACGGCACUAAGCAGUUUCUUCAUCUGCUUUUGCUCAAGGGGAUAAAAGCACAAUUCCCCCAAAGUAACCUGCUCCAAAGUCUCUGGAAACAACAAAAAGUUUGGUCUCAACUCAGCUUAUGGUUGGCUUAUGGUUGAAUCCAGCACUUGUUCUGGGGUUAAUUCCUGCUCCACUCUUCCUGGUGGAAGAAAACCAAGAAGGGUUCAGUCUGUUUGGAAAGAAUGUGAUUUCCUUAAGAAUGUGGCUUUGGGCCUUGUAGGAAGAAGCCAGCUGAGGAUGCUUUCACCUGUAGUGCUGGAGCAGGCUUUUGACUGAAAUCUGUAUCAGCAGGGAAGAUUCAGUGUAAACACACUGUGAAUAACAGAGGAUUUAUGCUGAGGCAAAAACCACUCAGGCUCUGUUCCCAACUGCACUUUGCAUUGUAACAUCGCUAGUUUGCAUUUUAGGGAGAGCAGGGAGCUUAUAAAUGUGCUGCAACAUCCAGCUUUUGGGUAUCAGCUGCCAGAGUGCAAUAGAAUACCCAGAGUCAGGUACCUCGUCCUUCUAUUUAUAGCCUGGAGAGUGUCAGACGCUUCCCAAGGGCGAGUGGAAACUCCCACCUGCCAAGCAGAGAGACCUGGGAGAAGGAAACAUCAAAGGAGGGAUGUAUUAGACUUGCUUUGCAUAGCCAGUGUGUAGGUGUUUCCAUCAGCUUGGGAUCCUGGGCCCACACAUCUGGGGUUUUGGAGUCUGUCAGGACUCUUUGAAGGAUCAGAGCAAGGACAACAAUUCCUGUUUAACACCGUGGGUGUCAGGGUUGCAUCUGAUGUUUGUUAUAUGUGCUGAUCUAGGUGGCAGAGAAAUACCCAGGAAAGGGAAGACUCUCUCCAAACCCAUCCAGGUGAGAGUCCAAAUGUCUCUCUACCUGCUUGGACUGUGCCCUCCUCCAGGCUGAGGCAUUGAGGGUUUGCUGGGUGGUUACCUCACACUCCUGGUAAAAAUGGGCUGCAGCAAAAAAAUAAACCUCAAAGAACAGAGCAAGAGGCUUAACUGUGUUUCCUAUUUGUUGUAAGAGAGGAAUUUCACUUCUAUUCACCCUUACAAUUUGUUCUGGUUUUUAAACUAGUGACCAUUUCAGAUGAAAAGCAGAAGUGGGGACAGCAGCCAAUGCAUCAUAAUGAUUCUGCUGUUCAAUCCUUGAUUGAGAGCUUAUCAAUAAAAUUUGACAGGAGGACACUCUGUGCCCUCUGCAGCAUCACAGUUUGCCUACAGAGGAUUUUCUUUGACUCCAUGCAAGUGGCUGUGGGCUACAGCUUUAUAAUUCCAUUUGCCUGAACUUUCACUGAAAAUACAUUCAGAAAAUGUAAUUAUUUCAGGGUUAAAUUUGGGGAUAGGUUUCCCUACACCUUCCAUACUGAUUUUCAUUUGUGCAAGAGUGGGAAGAAUCACCCUCACAAAGAACAAUAUCCCAUGUGAAGGAAUGAAGAGCAGAAAGAACAAGUUAGCAGAUUGCCAUAUAAUGAUCUCCUCAGUACAAAAUGUAUCUGGUAAUGACAAUUAUAUUGCCAAGGAACAGAGGAAUUCAAAUUGGUUCUCAAAGCUUCGAUGGCUAAAAUGUGGGGAUAUUAUCAUAAAAUCAUCAGGUCUGUAUGAGAAUGAGGGGUUUAACCUUCCAGGCAUGUCUAAUAUCUGCACAGGAUAAUGAGUUCAUAAAUUCAUAUCGCUUGUUUACCUCUAAUUAAUGCUAUUAUGUUUAUUCCUCUUAGCACAAUAUUUCUCUUAACAUAAUAAAAUCAGUAGCAGUCAGGAAUUUGGGUGAAAAACACCUGAUUAACGUGUUUUAUCUUAAAGCAACAUUGCAAUACUUCAAAAUCUUGGCAUUACCCAAACACAUCGAGACCAGUGCGGUGACCUAAAUAUUGUCAGUGGAAGGUGUCACUGCAGCACGUUAAGGAAACCCAUUCUGGCUGUAAUUUACCUGGCUCAGGUAACACCUGCAAAGCUGCACAGCAAACCCUGAGCCUGCCAAGGACCUGAAGCAGAUACUUGGGUUGCCUGGAAGGGCACACAGAUGUGUUAUCGCUGAUGUUGUUAUUUGAGCUCGUGAGAUUAAGCCCAGGCUGUACCUCAGCUUCCUAAAUUCAGCAUCGACAUCCACGUGAGUGGAAAGUAGCAAAUGUGCCAGUCUGGAUGCUCAGAGGAGCAAACAAGUGAAGCUCAGCGUGAAGAUGCAGGCGGAGGUCCCGCAUUUUCAGGCUGUUGGAAGGGCAUGGCUGUCCUCUGGCGCUGACCAUCGCUCCUGCUGCUCAGCAGUUUCCCGUUUGCCAGCACUUCUUUUAUCCCAACGCCGUCCACAUUUUUGCAGUGCCACCAAGCGGAUGGUUCCCCCGUUAGCAUUUUAGUUUCACACGUUAUCAUUUUAAAACAAAUGCAGAACUGUCCAGUAGCUGAGUGGUGAUAAGCACAACCCACCCCAGCGAAGCUGCAGAGUCAGCACGAUGUGAUACAGGAGGAAAUAAAGGGUCUUUAAUGAAAACCCUUUAAAAAUGUGUUUGUGAUGCUUUGAGGCCUGUGGAAACCUGUCUCUGGCUCCUCAGGAGGCAGCAUAGCACAGUCACUGAGGUGUGGACAUGGACCUUCUGGGCUCCUCAGUGCAAGAAAGAUGUGGAACUCCUGGAGCAGGACCAGGGGAGGGCAAUGAGGAUGAUUAAAGGACUGGAACCUCUCUUAGGAGGAAAGGCUGAGGGAGCCGGGCCUGUUCAGCCUUGAGAUGACUGAGGGGACCUCAUCAACAAGUAUAAAUAUCUAAAGAAGGGGUGCCAGAAGAUGGACCAGGCUCCGCUCUGUGGUGCCAAGUAAUAAAAGAGGCAAUGGGCAGAAACUGAUGCACUGGAAGUUAUACCUGAAUAUGAGGAAGAACUUUAUCGUGUGGGUGACCAAGCACUGAACACACUGCCCAGAGAGGGUGUAGA